UUGCUUUGGAGUCACAUACACUAAAAUUAGAACUAUACAGAGAAGAUUAGCAUGGCCCCUGUGCAAGGAUGAUACACAAAUUUGUGACACAUUCCAUAUUUUU